AGCGAACGCUGGCGGCAGGCUUAACACAUGCAAGUCGAGCGGGCACUUUCGGGUGUCAGCGGCGGACGGGUGAGUAACGCGUGGGAACGUGCCCUCUGGUUCGGAAUAACUCAGGGAAACUUGAGCUAAUACCGGAUACGCCCUUUUGGGGAAAGGCUUGCUGCCGGAGGAUCGGCCCUCGUCUGAUUAGCUAGUUGGUGAGGUAACGGCUCACCAAGGCGACGAUCAGUAGCUGGUCUGAGAGGAUGAUCAGCCACACUGGGACUGAGACACGGCCCCGACUCCUACGGGAGGAAGCAGUGGGGAAUAUUGGACAAUGGGCGCAAGCCUGAUCCAGCCAUGCCGCGUGAGUGAUGAAGGCGUUAGGGUUGUAAAGCUCUUUUAUCCGGGACGAUAAUGACGGUACCGGAGGAAUAAGCCCCGGCUAACUUCGUG
rnacentral:rRNA from 1 species